rnacentral:lncRNA from 1 species
AGAGCCUCAACAAUAAUUUCAUAGCAGAUAAGGAUCAAAUAAUAGCAUGUUGAUUCACAAAUUUUUAGGCAUAUAGAUAUACAUAAUAAGAACUUAAACAAAAAAGGAAUGAAAUUUCAAGGGCUAGAGGUACUUACCAAUUACAAAAAUGAACAAGUAAACAAGAAAAAUAAUUUUACCAGGACUACAGUAACCAAUAGUACAAGAGAGUAGCAUAACCCCAAACCCAGUGUGUCAAAUUUCAAGAAGGAUUCAGAUGAUACUCGAGCAAUGCUCACUCCGGGAAGGCCGAUAAAACGAACUCUGGUGGCCUUGGUUUUAAGCCUGCCAAGAACCAAAAUUGUUAUAAUAUUGUGAGAGAGUGAUACUAAUAGUAAAAGUAGUCAAGUGGUAGUCGUUGAUACCUAAAGGGGAAUCAGUGAAGAGGGUUUAUAUAGUAACUAAAUCAACGAGUAAGCAAGGAUAACAAAAUUAAACAAACACAAACAUGGAAAGGAGAAAGAUACACAUCCAAUUAGUAAAAUAACCGAAAAGGAAAGAAAUCAACACCAAGCCCAAAUUAGGGUUCCACACUUAAAAUUGUUCAAUUGGUAUAAAGAAUCAAGCCUUUCUUCAUGUAUAUAGACGAAAUGUUAUUCAACUUUUUAAGAUAGAACGCAAUUCCAGUCUGAUCUUGAGACGCGUGAUACAAUAGACAUGUGGCUAGUAGCGUGGAAACACAUAUAUGGUAAGCAAAUAAUGGAGGAAUCUUAUUCUUAAAGGAAAUGUAGAGCGAGUUAAGGGGAGGGAGGCUAGGGUCAUUCAGAGAAAGUGGGAGGGUAAAGAGAAUUUAGGUGUGGCGGCUUAGGAGAAUGGAUAUUUAGGGUUGGGUUAUGGACACAUAAGGAAAGACAUGGGAGGAUAGUAGAGAUGGGGCGGGUCAGUG